CAGCAGCCACGGUAAUACGGAGGGUGCAAGCGUUAAUCGGAAUUACUGGGCGUAAAGCGCACGCAGGCGGUCUGUCAAGUCAGAUGUGAAAUCCCCGGGCUUAACCUGGGAACUGCAUUUGUGACUGUAUAGCUAGAGUACGGCAGAGGGGGAUGGAAUUCCGCGUGUAGCAGUGAAAUGCGUAGAUAUGCGGAGGAACACCGAUGGCGAAGGCAAUCCCCUGGGACUGUACUGACGCUCAUGCACGAAAGCGUGGGGAGCAAACAGGAUUAGAUACCCGCGUAGUCCCUGUCUCUUAUAA
rnacentral:rRNA from 1 species